rfam:Gossypium raimondii Chr06_contig_1309, whole genome shotgun sequence.
UGUUAUAAUUUUCAUACAUUUCUACUGUUAAAAAUUGGUCUCUGUACGUUGACAUGAGGUACAUGUGACACGUCAUAUGUACAUGUCUAGUUAUUUCGUCGGCCACACCAGUUUUAAUAGUAGAAAUUGAUGAAAUUUUUAUA